CAGCCGCGGUAAUUCCAGCUCUCAAGGUGUAUAUCGCCAUUGCUGCGGUUAAAAAGCUCGUAGUUGGAUCUGCGCCUUCGGACUCGGUCCGCCCAACGGGUGUGAACUGAGAUCCAAGGCUUAUACUGCUGGUUUUCCCUUGAUGCUCUUUACUGGGUGUCUUGGGUGGCUAGCGAGUUUACUUUGAAAAAAUUAGAGUGCUUAACACAGGCUAUCGCCUGAAUACUUGUGCAUGGAAUAAUAGAAUAAGACCACGGCUCUAUUUUAUUGGUUUUCGGAACUGUGAUAAUGGUUAAGAGGGACAGACGGGGGCAUUCGUAUCGCUGCGUGAGAGGUGAAAUUCUUGGACCGCAGCGAGACGCCCUACUGCGAAAGCAUUUGCCAAGAAUGUCUUCGUUAAUCAAGAACGAAAGUCAGAGGUUCGAAGGCGAUCAGAUACCGCCCUAGUUCUGACCGUAAACGAUGCCAACUAGCGAUCCGCCGGUGGUAAUUACGCCCCGGCGGGGAGCUUCCCGGAAACGAAAGU
rnacentral:rRNA from 2 species